AGAGUUUGAUCCUGGCUCAGAGCGAACGCUGGCGGUAUGCUUAACACAUGCAAGUCGAGCGAGAAAAUGGCUUCGGCCAUGAGUACAGCGGCGGACGGGUGAGUAAUACAUGGAUAAUCUGCCUUUAGGACUGGGACAACCCUGGGAAACUAGGGCUAAUACCGGAUAAGACCACAGAAUCUGCGGAUUCAGUGGUAAAAGGUGGCUUUCGGGCUAUCACCUAGAGAUGAGUCCAUGUCCCAUCAGGUUGUUGGUGAGGUAACGGCCCACCAAGCCUAAGACGGGUAGCCGGCCUUAGCGGGUGAUCGGCCACACGGGGACUGAGACACGGCCCCGACUCCUACGGGAGGCAGCAGUGGGGAAUAUUGGACAAUGGGCGCAAGCCUGAUCCAGCAAUACCGCGUGAGGGAUGAAGGCCCUAGGGUCGUAAACCUCUGUCAGUUGGAACGAUGGGUUUGUAGGUUAAUACCCUGCAAACUUGACGGUACCUUUCAAGGAAGCCCCGGCUAACUCCGUGCCAGCAGCCGCGGUAAUACGGAGGGGGCAAGCGUUGCUCGGAAUUACUGGGCGUAAAGGUCCGCAAGUGGGCUUGUAAGUUAGAUGUGGAAUCUCAAGGGCUCACCCUGAAACUGCAUCUAAUACUGCAAAGCUUGAGUACAGGAGAGGUUGGCGGGAUUCCCCGUGUAACGGUGAAAAUGC
rnacentral:rRNA from 1 species